CUCAAAUUUGUGAUCCUGCUCCCUCAGCUUCCCAAGUGCUAAUAUUACAGAUAUAUACCAAGGCUAUAGUUUAGAACCCCUGAGACCUGAAUUUGAACCCUUGGAUCUUUCACACCAGUUAUGUGACCUGGACCUCAAACUUGUACUGAACAUUUCUGAGCUUCAGUUGCUGGAUCUGAAACAUAAGAAGGUGGUACCUCAUAAAGCUGUGUGAGGACUGAUUAGAACUUUCAUGCAACAAAUAUUUAUUGAAUGCAUUUUCUGUGUAAAAGUUUUAGGAAUACAAAGAAGAAGAGAAAGACCUAUCCCCUCCUCAGAGGUCACAUCUCUGUGCUAGAUGUCUAACAGAGUAGCUAUGCAAUAAAUGUAGCUUCUCCUUUGCCAAGGAAGUGGGAGAGCCUCCUGGGGAAAGGAAUUGACCCAAAACUACAGGAUCAAACUUGGGACCUUGUGCUUGCGAGGCAGGUGACGGCACUGGGUUGAUACUUUGAAGUUGCUUAUUUGAGAAUGACUGUCUGGAAUGGUGUCUGGGAACUUCUGAAAGCUCCCCAAGAGAGACCAACUCUCAGCCGAGGCUCAGGACCACGGCUCUGGGGAUAGUGUGUGCAUCCCACAGUAUGGAAAGCUGACAGAAGACAUGGAUUGUUGGUCUUAGAAGAUGGGGAAUGGAGCACUCAGGAGGCUGAAGCUGGAGGAUCGAUACAAGUUCGAGGCCAGCCUGGGCUACAUAGUGAAUUCAAGACCAGCCUGAACAACAUAGUGAGACCCUGUCCAAAAAAAAAGAUGGGGAAAGUAGUUGGGAAUGAAUUAUUAAGCUGUGAUACACACACAUAUAUAUAUAUCAAUUCCCCAAAAUGACUGUAAUUUUUAUGUAUUACA
rnacentral:lncRNA from 1 species